rnacentral:rRNA from 1 species
AUGGUUGGCCACUGCGGAUCACCGCGCCGUGCCUGGGAUGUUAACCCACUCCAGGUGCAGGAUGAUCUCGCCGGUGUCGGUGUUCCUCAGCUUGAGGACAAUGUUCUGAGAGACCUUGUCGUCUUUCCAUCUGAUGUGGCUCUCGGUGGAGAAGCAGUUGUCCUUGUCAGGGUGGAUCGUCUUCAUCACGGUGUCGUCAGGGACGUGGCUGAGGUCCUUGUUGGCGAUCUCGACGAAGUCGAGGAUGCUGAACUCUGCAUCGCCCAUGCUGUCAUCCUUGGUGAAAGUAUCAUGGUCAAAGACUUCCUGUAA